rnacentral:rRNA from 1 species
UACGUAGGCAGCAAGCGUUGUUCGGAAUUACUGGGCGUAAAGAGUGUGUAGGCGGUGUUCUAAGUCUGUUGUGAAAUCUCCCGGCUCAACUGGGAGGGGCCCUUUGAUACUGCCAGCCUUGAGAUGCCUAGAGGAGAGUGGAAUUCCCGGUGUAGUGGUGGAAUGCGUAGAUAUCGGGAGGAACACCAGUGGCGAAAGCGGACUCUCUGGGGGG